UACGUAGGGGGCAAGCGUUGUCCGGAUUUAUUGGGCGUAAAGAGCGUGUAGGCGGUUAUACAGGCCCGCUGUGAAAACUGGAGGCUUAACCUCCAGACGUCGGUGGAAACCGUAUGACUAGAGUCCGGAAGAGGAGAGUGGAAUUCCUGGUGUAGCGGUGAAAUGCGCAGAUAUCAGGAAGAACACCCGUGGCGAAGGCGGCUCUCUGGGACGGUACUGACGCUGAGACGCGAAAGCGUGGGGAGCGAACAGG
rnacentral:rRNA from 1 species